CAAUAUCUUGGAUGUGAACCAGAAUUGGAAUGUUGGGUGUUCUUGUUUUUGAUACAUGUAAAGAGGUUUGGGGCAAUUUUGCUGCCUUCUGUGAAUCCCUCCAUCUGGGCUUAUCAAAAGAGGAGAAGGAACGAAGUAAGUUUCUCUUCUCAGUUAUGUAUGAUAUGGUUUGAGUGCUGCUUUAUUGAAUUACUCUCGCUAUCCCUGUUACGUUCUGUGAAUUUUAAAGGACUAGACAUGUUUCAAUUCAAUACUGAGCUAGUUUCUUGAUGCUUCAAAC